rnacentral:rRNA from 1 species
UAGGGAAUCUUCCGCAAUGGACGCAAGUCUGACGGAGCAACGCCGCGUGAGUGAAGAAGGAUUUCGGUUCGUAAAACUCUUCUGUUAGAGAAGAACAGCGCAUAGAGUAACUGUUAUGCGUGUGACGGUAUCUAACCAGAAAGCCACGGCUAACUACGUGCCAGCAGCCGCGGUAAUACGUAGGUGGCAAGCGUUGUCCGGAUAUAUUGGGCGUAAAGCGAGCGCAGGCGGUCAAUUAAGCCUGAUGUGAAAGCCCCCGGCUCAACCGGGGGGGGUCAUUUGAAACUGGUUGGCUUGAGUGCAGAGGAGGAGAGUGGAAUUCCAUGUGUGGCGGUGAAAUGCGUAGAUAUAUGGAGGAACACCAGUGGCGAAGGCGACUCUCUGGUCUGUAACUGACGCUGAGGUUCGAAAGCGUGGGUAGCAAACAGG